AUGCCAGUGGAUAUUCUUGGAACAGCUCUUUUCAGAAGUCUCAACGUUUCUAAAUUACCAAACAGGAAAGCCGCGACAUCCUCUAUUGGAGGAGCGGCACUGGGUGGAAGCUGCGUCCAAGAGCCCGUUGAUAUCUGCUGGCAGAGCCACCCGAGCAAGUCAUGCGUGAGUAGUUUCCUUGCUAAUGUUUUGGCAUGUCAUGAUUAUGCACUGCUAAGUCUUUGUCAGGAACAGACCUGUUGCCAAUGUUUGUUGUUCAUGCCUGUUGUUAUUAAAUUUCUUUCUUCCCUCCCCUAGAGCCAUCAUGCGCUGUUGUAAAUGGUAAGGAGAACGAGCAAGUUAGCUGAAGCUUGCUGUCCUUCCCAUUGGCUUGCAAGAGCAAAGGGAGGUAAGGUGAAGGAGAGGGAGAGAGGAGUGCAUCCAACAACCUCACAAAAGGCAGUUCGCUGAUAGGAUUUCCUAAGUCUAAAGCAGUUGUGUGCUACCUUGGCUGCACAUUGGAAUCACUGGGGGAGAUUUGAAGACUGAUGUCCGGACCCCUCCCCCAUGAUUUAAUGUGGCUAGAAUUAGACCUAAGCGUCAGGAUUUUGUUCAAGUUCGUGAGGUGAUGUUGACGUGAAGUCAAGGUUGAGAACCGACACUCUAGAUUCAGGGAGCUAUUGCAACGAUGCUCUUUAAUCAUUUCUUCUCUUCCGUUCAGACUCAUUGAGUUGUACCCUUUCAGACAUCAUGGGACCCUGUUACAUUAGCGCAUCCAGGACCUGCAGGAUCAGCUAGUCUUGCCCACUCUUUCGAGGCAGCUUUGAUGUGACAGAAAGAGCACUGGAUCUAGGUCCAAGGACUAGACUCUUCUGCUUCAUCUUUAUAUGAACCAUGGCACAUCAUGAAUAAGUCAUGGCAUCUCUCUGAGUCUCCUUUUUCUAGGAUACUGGACUUUGGGGAAAUUCAGUGACCAUCGUGAACACACCUAACUCAGUUUCAGGCACAUGGCAAUGCAUAGUUGCUCAGUAAAUAUUUUUGUCAUUGUUUCUCUUUUUAUAGAUGAGGGCACUGCACCCCAAAAGGAUCAAGUAACUGUCCGGAGCUCUUUCUGUAUCUGAAGCCAUCAGCAGUUUUCUUAUGUAGGUCUCUUACAGUUGGACCAAAUGAAAACACAUCAUUUUAACCCUAUCCACACGUCACCCUCAACCCCUUCCCUAACAUCAUACAAACACACAUGCCCACAAAUAUGGUUCAAGAGGAUCUACAAUCCAGAAGCGAAUAGAAAUGUUAGUGCUGCCUCAGGAUUUCUUGGGCU
rnacentral:lncRNA from 1 species